UUUUUUUUUUUUUUUCGGGCCACACCCAUGACAUAUGGAAAUUCCCAGGCCGGGGGUCAAGCUGGAGCUGCAGCUGCCUGCCUACACCACAGCCACAGCAACACGGGAUCUGAGCCGCAUCUGCGACUUACACCACAGCUCACAGCAACGCCAGAUCCUUAACCCACUGAGCAAGGCCAGGGAUGGAACUUUCAUCCUCAUGGAUACUAGUCAGGUUCAUUACCACUGAGCCACAGUGGGAACUCCUUGGAAUUCUUAAUUUAUUAUCUAGAGGCCUGCGUUUUCAUCUUGCACUGGGCCUUUACAGGUUAUGCCGCUGGUCCUGCUGGUGGAUUAGAGAUCAUGCUGGAGCUGGACCCUCUUUGAGGGCUGGCCCCAUGGCGUGGUAACCGAGCAUCACUGAGCUAGACAGAACAGCGUCCAGUGGGCAGGCCAGCGCAGGCCCGCACCUCCGCAAAUGGAGACCUUUGGAGGGCCAGGGAAGGGGCACCCCAGAACAGUGCCUCAGGGGGGCCUAGGACAGACUAACGGGCUGGCCAGGGCUGGGGAGGGGAGGAGAGAGGCCAGCUGUCUUCAGGACCUCGGCCUCUCCAAAGAAACCACCGCCGCCACCACCCAACGGCCGGGGGCUGGGUGGGUGCAGGGUGCUCAGCUGUGCCAGCCUGUCCCAGGGUCUCCGUGUAAUUAGAGCCAGGCCCUUCACUUGGCUUUCCGGAUUGGCUGAGAGAGAGGAGGAGAGCCAAGAGGAGUUGAUUCGGAAGCCCUGGCCUGGCCCGGAAGCGCCCGCUCAGAGAGGAGGCCUGGGGAGGAACCGAAGCCAGACAUUCAUUCCUCGGAGGCCACUGUCCCCCAGGAGACAGGUGCUGGCACCAAGCGGAGCUGCAGAAGGAAUGCAGAGCCCAGGGCAGGACGGGGAGAGACUUUCUCAGGCCCAACAUGUACCAGGAAGACGGUGAUGGGGAGGGAGAAUGUUCUAGAGCCCUGGGGGGCAAACCCAGGGGUCUGGUCCACGGUGUGUGUCCUGAGAGUUUUCUGAUUUACACCAGAAUCUGGAGAAGGGCAGCAGUCAGACCACUGGGGUGGCCUCUUAACUGCGCAGUCCUUCUCCGGUUUGGCCUUCCUGGGCCCCGCCGACAGAGCCCAGGGCAACCGCUAGCACGUCGGAUAAUCCGACGGCCCUGCCAAGAUGAGCAGCUUACAUUUUCUCAAUCAAUUCCACUGGCCUGUUUUGUGGUCGGGAGGAUGGACGGCUGAAUCCUAGUGCACAGGGGGUGCUGGGAGGGUUGAAACGUGUUAAUACACACAGGACCCUCAGAACGGAGCCCGGGGGGGGGGGUGGCCUCCUAUAAAUCGUGCCUGUUACCCAAUCUCAGGGCCUCCAAAAGCAGGGGGACAUCUCUGUAGUCAGAAUGCAUCUUCCUACAGAUGAAAUGGCCACAUUUUUUCUUCCUGAGCAGCACAUAAAACAAUGGUGCUUCUUAUAAGCGAUGUCUUAGGUUCAACCGAAUAUGGGAUGAUGACAAUAAUGACACUUGUGACUGGACGUCUCCAGUGCAUUUUUAUUGGCAACGCCUCCUUCCAUGUGAGCUGAGGUCUGGCAUGCUCUCGAGUGCCCGAUUCAUGUGGAAACAGGCCUGGAAGCCCCAGAGGGCAGGAGCUUGGGGAGGUUGCUCUUGGGGCAUAAACACGAAGUCAUGGGCAGAGGCUGUGACAGCCUGGCAGAGCCCUAGGCAGGGGUGUCAGGAGGACGGUGGACGCUCAGUCCCCUAACCCACGUAACGCGGAAGGUAUAUGCUUUCUCUCAGGCUUGUCUGGAAGGCCCAACAAUCCACGACUGGCUCGCAGCAAAGGCUCGGUCCGCAGGACCUCUUGUUAUCAGGCCCCGACUCCAAAGCUAGCUGUCUGGGAGAUAAGCUGCUGUGUGUCUGGGGCUGAGAGCUGGGGUAGCAGAGGGGAGCCAGAGCUGAAUGUCCGGGGAGGGGGUCUAGGAGCUGACUCUCAGCCCUGCAAAGGGCUAUGCAAACUCCCCACUCCAGGAGACCCUGGGGCUUAAGGGAGAAAAGGUGAGAAGCUGGCCCCUCUUCCAAAUUUACACCCCAGGGGCUGAUUGGCUGAUUCCAUUUAUUUAUUUAUUUAUUUAUUUAGGCCGUGCCUGGGACAUGCAUAAGUUCCUGGGUCAGGGAUCGAACCCUGAGCCACAGCAGUGACAACGCCAGAUCCUUAACCAGCUGGUCAGCUGCUGAUCUUGAUUGCCCCUCCCCCUAGCAAAGGCCCUACGUGCUCUGGGGCUCUACCCAGAUUCCUGGACCCCAGCCCUUCUACGGCUCUCCCUACUCCCAAUUCGGCUGAUGAGACCACAGUCGGAGCUCAGACGGAGCUGAGAAAGUGGGUUCAGAGAGAUGGCAGUCCUGCCAGAGGCAGGUGAAGAGCAAGGUGAAGAGCAAAAUGCCAACACCUGCCACGGAGUGGAGCCAGCAAAAGGCACCUGAAAUCCCAAGCUCCCAAGCCCUGCAGUUGAGGACACCUCCCUGGGUCCCUUGGCCCACGUCCUCCUCUUAUAAAACGGGUAGCCCUUUGUAAUCAGACCUUCGUGGUUCUAGGAGCUGUCCUACAGUUCUAGCUCACCUGCUGACCCUUAGGGAGACUCUGGGGCUUGGGACCGGAGGGAGGUCUGGGGAGGAAGCCACACACCCCAAAGGCAUGUGGUCAUCACACGUGUGGACAGGUGUGAACAGACAGGACAGUCACUGUGCCUUUGUUUCCUGCCCUCGUCCUGAAGCUUGCAGACCUCCUGCAGGCAGGUUGAUGCCAGAGAGCAUGCGUGUUGAGGAGGGUAAGCACCCGGGGUGGGGGGGGGGGCAUGGCCGGGAGCCCCUGGGACAGGCGGCCAAGCACCCCUGACCUCAGUGGUUAGGGCGCCGCUAAGGUGUGCAUUUGCCGCCCGCAGCUGCUGCUUGGCAACGGAGGGGAUGAAAACAAAGCCCCAGUGGAGGGUCUGAUGCAUCUAACAGCCCCGGAGAGAGAAGCUAGGUUGGGAAAGUAGCUCAACUGUGCGUGUGGCGACACCUUGAUUACGCAGGGAGAAAACCUGAUGGAGCUUAUGCGAACGUGACUAGAGCCAAUCACUGAGUCUGGCCAAGUCUCCGGGCGCAAGAUCAAGACAUCAAAAUCCACGAUGUUCUCAUUUUUGUUUGGUUUUUGUCUUUUUUUUCAGGCCACACCUGUAGCAUAUUGAAAGCUCCCAAUCAGAGCCGGAGCGCCAGCCUACACCACAACCACAGCAUCCGAGGUCCGAGCCGCAUCCGCGACCUACGGGGCAACUUUUGGCCACGCUGGAUCUUUAGUCCACUGAGCGAGGCCAGGAAUCGAACCUGCAUCCUCACGGAUUCUUAACCCACUGAGCCACAUUGGAACCUCCCACUGUGUUCUUAUAUCCUGCGGACAAGCCACUGGAAGCUAUUUUAAAAAGCACUUACAAUGGCAUAACAAAUAUGAACUGUUUAGGAAUAGAUCUGUGCUCUGAAACCCACAACAUGUGGCUGAGAAGGAAUCAAAGACCUGAAGAAUGGCGUGAAGAUAGCCCAUUUCAUGGGCCAGAAAACCCAAUGGAUCAGAUACCAACGCUCUUCAACUCGAUCUAGACUAUCUGCAAUCCCAACCAGAAGUCCCAGGGGGACUUUUUCUUUUUAAUCUGAUUCUCAAAUCCAUAUGCAAUGUAAAGGAAAAUACAAAACUCCUGCAGCAAUGGAAAAGGCCAAAACAGCUCUGAAAAAGAACAAAGUCAGAGAACUAACACCACCUGGUUUCGAGACUUAUUACAAAGCAACAGUAACCAACACAAUGUGCUCUUGGAAUAAAGACAGACAAAUAGAUCAAUGCAACAGAACGGUGUCCAGAAAUAGAGCCACACAUAUAGGGACAACGGAUUUUUCAACAAAGGUGUAGAGGUAAUUCAGGCGUGAAAGGAAAGUUUUUUUAAAAAAAGAUUCCAGAACAAUUGGAUAUUCAUUUAAAAAAAAAAAAAAAAAAAAA
rnacentral:lncRNA from 1 species